UCUGAAUGAAAUAUUGAGUUAGCCGUUUUUAAAAAUCGGCUCAAAACGAGCUGUUUAACAACACUACCACAAACUUGUGAAUAGCUCCUCAUUUUCUCCCCCUUAAUUAACUAUCCAUUUUGAUGGAUUUUUGAGGCUGUUAUAUCCACAACCAGGAUGAGAAAACGCUUUUAUCACAUUUUGAUAUGAUAAAAAUGGAUAUUACUUCAAAAAUGGAAGAAAUAUGAUAUAUUUAUAAAUAUGAAUUGAUAGACAUCGUACAAAUGGUUGGAGUAUAUAAAAUUUAUGGAACUUACAAUUGCUGAUAGGCCAACUAAUAGUUUUUGAUACUAGUGAGAGUAUUAAGAAUGUUAUUUCACCCCAAAGCCAAAUGAAAAAUUAUUGAUUCUUAUAAAUAAGAAGCCACCUGCAAAUAGAAGGAAGGGCUAUAUGGUUUUAGUGUAACUAACCAAUAUCUUAAAUCGGAAGUAAUGAAAAUCUUCUAUUCCAUUACAAUUAAAAUUACAUACAACCAAUAGAACAAUCAAUAAAAAAUGUCAAAUUGCUCUUGAAAUAUUGUAUAAAUUUGGAUAUAUAUAUGAUUUUAUUGUAUUUAUAUUUUUUUCUUUUCGUAGUUAAAAUAAAUAUUCAUAAAGUUUAAAUUUA